rnacentral:misc_RNA from 1 species
GUUUUGCUCCACUAGGCCCAUGCGCAUUGGUCCUGCAGCUAACAAGAAGAAUUCUGGUGGUCAGAUGCAAGCUUCAUAUCAAAGUACUGGAACUCAAAAUGAGGAUGACCCUACUAAUACGACGAUUUUCGUUGGGAACUUGGAUGCUAGUGUAACUGAUGAUCACCUCAGGCAGGUUUUUGGGAACUAUGGGCAAUUGCUUCAUGUAAAAAUACCACUAGGCAAACGUUGUGGUUUUGUUCAAUUUACUGAUAGAAGCUGUGCUGAGGAAGCUCUAAAUGCAUUGAGUGGAACUCAGUUGGGUGGACAAACCAUCCGCCUUUCAUGGGGUCGUAGC